rnacentral:tRNA from 1 species
CGCAAACACCAAAGUGCAAAUUUGGGAACAGCACCUCGAGGUGCUCGGGGCUUCUCCCGUUUAAGUAGAGACGGGAGAAGG